rnacentral:rRNA from 1 species
AUGAACGCUGGCGGCGUGCUUAACACAUGCAAGUCGAACGAUGAAGCCCAGCUUGCUGGGUGGAUUAGUGGCGAACGGGUGAGUAACACGUGAGUAACCUGCCCUUAACUCUGGGAUAAGCCUGGGAAACUGGGUCUAAUACCGGAUAGGAGCGUCCACCGCAUGGUGGGUGUUGGAAAGAUUUAUCGGUUUUGGAUGGACUCGCGGCCUAUCAGCUUGUUGGUGAGGUAAUGGCUCACCAAGGCGACGACGGGUAGCCGGCCUGAGAGGGUGACCGGCCACACUGGGACUGAGACACGGCCCAGACUCCUACGGGAGGCAGCAGUGGGGAAUAUUGUACAAUGGGCGCAAGCCUGAUGCAGCGACGCCGCGUGAGGGAUGACGGCCUUCGGGUUGUAAACCUCUUUCAGUAGGGAAGAAGCGAAAGUGACGGUACCUGCAGAAGAAGCACCGGCUAACUACGUG